CCUAUACAUGCAAGUCGAGCGAGAAGACGUAGCAAUACGUUUGUAAAGCGGCGAACGGGUGAGGAAUACAUGGGUAACCUACCCUUGAGUGGGGAAUAACUAGCCGAAAGGUUAGCUAAUACCGCGUACGCUCCUUGGACUUCGGUUCAGGGAGGAAAGCGCUGCCGAGGGCAGCGCGCUCUUGGAUGGGCUCAUGUCCUAUCAGCUUGUUGGUGAGGUAACGGCUCACCAAGGCUUCGACGGGUAGCUGGUCUGAGAGGACGAUCAGCCACACUGGCACUGCGACACGGGCCAGACUCCUACGGGAGGCAGCAGUAAGGAAUAUUGCGCAAUGGGCGAAAGCCUGACGCAGCGACGCCGCGUGGGGGAUGAAGGUCUUCGGAUUGUAAACCCCUUUCGGGAGGGAAGAUGGAAUGGGGUAACCCAUUCGGACGGUACCUCCAGAAGCAGCCACGGCUAACUUCGUGCCAGCAGCCGCGGUAAUACGAAGGUGGCAAGCGUUAUUCGGAUUUACUGGGCGUACAGGGAGCGUAGGCGGUUCGGUAAGCCCUCUGUGAAAUCUUCAGGCUUAACCUGGAAAAGUCGGAGGGGACUGCUGGGCUAGAGGACGGGAGAGGAGCGCGGAAUUCCCGGUGUAGCGGUGAAAUGCGUAGAGAUCGGGAGGAAGGCCGGUGGCGAAGGCGGCGCUCUGGAACGUUUCUGACGCUGAGGCUCGAAAGCGUGGGGAGCAAACAGGAUUAGAUACCCUGGUAGUCCACGCCUUAAACUAUGAAUACUAAGUGUCGGCGGGUUACCGCCGGUGCCGCAGCUAACGCAUUAAGUAUUCCGCCUGGGAAGUACGGCCGCAAGGUUGAAACUCAAGGAAUUGACGGGGGCCCGCACAAGCGGUGGAGCAUGUGGUUUAAUUCGACGCAACGCGAAGAACCUUACCCAGGCUGGACAUGCAGGUAGUAGAAGGGGUGAAAGCCCAACGAGGUAGCAAUACCAUCCUGCCUCAGGUGCUGCAUGGCUGUCGUCAGCUCGUGCCGUGGA
rnacentral:rRNA from 1 species